GAAUAAGCCCCGGCUAAUUACGUGCCAGCAGCCGCGGUAACACGUAAGGGGCGAGCGUUGUUCGGAAUUAUUGGGCGUAAAGGGUAUGUAGGCGGUUAUGUAAGCCUGAUGUGAAAUCUACAAGCUUAACUCGUAAACUGCAUUGGGUACUGCGUAACUUGAAUCACGGAGGGGAAAUCGGAAUUCCAAGUGUAGGGGUGGAAUCUGUAGAUAUUUGGAAGAACACCGGUGGCGAAGGCGGGUUUCUGGUCGAUGAUUGACGCUGAUAUACGAAGGUGCGGGGAGCAAACAGGAUUAGAUACCCUGGUAGUCCGCACAGUAAACUAUGUACACUAGGCGUUGGAGCAAGAGCUUCAGUGCCGACGCAAACGCAUUAAGUGUACCGCCUGGGAAGUAUGCCCGCAAGGGUGAAACUCAAAGGAAUUGACGGGGGCCCACACAAGCGGUGGAGCAUGUGGUUUAAUUCGAUGAUACGCGAGAAACCUUACCUGGGUUUGACAUCAAGAGCAAUGGUAUAGAGAUAUAUCAGCGUAGCA
rnacentral:rRNA from 1 species